UACAGAGGUCUCAAGCGUUGUUCGGAUUUAUUGGGCGUAAAGGGUGCGCAGGCCGCAUGGUAAGUUUGGUGUGAAAUCCUGGGGCUUAACCCCAGAAUUGCACUGAAUACUGCCGUGCUAGAGGACUGGAGAGGAGAUUGGAAUUCACGGUGUAGCAGUGAAAUGCGUAGAUAUCGUGAGGAAGACCAGUGGCGAAGGCGAAUCUCUGGACAGUUCCUGACGCUCAUGCACGAAGGCCAGGGGAGCAAACGGG
rnacentral:rRNA from 1 species